GCGAGGUUCUCCUUUCUCCUUCUCUCGCGAAUGAACCCGAGCGUUUGAGAACCACUCCCAGAUUCCUUGUGGACGGUCCCUCCCCACUCUUCCCCGGAGACCGCCGGAGUUGGGCAAGAGUCCCUCCCCUUUGUAGCUGUAGUUGUAUUUAGGGUCUUAAUGAAUCAGAUUUGACUUCGAGCUUUUGCCGGUAUCUCUCCUUUUAGAUCUGGCUGGAAAGGCCACCGGAGACGGCAACGAUAGCAGUGUUUGCUACACUUUUGAGCUGGCUCUGGUUGUCAACUUCCAACAAGUGUCCCUUCUUCCGUGCUACCAAUGGAGGCUACUAGUGGCAGGACGCCAUGAGUAUGCUUGGGCGUAUCAGGCUCUGCCGACGAGCUACUUGCUCCCGGCGCUGCCAAUGCCAAACUGCCCAUAGAGGAUGAGUGGAUAGAAGGGCACUUCGCAACAGGGUUACGACGAGCAAGAGAAUUUGGUCAUGGAACAGUCUUUGGUGAAGACUGAUCUAGAACUGGCAAUAUGUUUAUAAGCGUUGUGCAAAAUUUUGGUGAUCUGACUGAGCAGGUCGGUUUUGAAAUAUAGCCAAAAAUCAUGUCAAUGUGCCACUACUGUUUUGCACAAAAUUCUGUUCUAUUUGGGUGGUGCCAAACUACCAACAGAAGACAAGCUGUCUUCUGGAGUUCUGGUAGACCAAUGCCAAAAUUGCAUAGUUGUAUGUUAUUUAGGGUCUCUAUUGCAUAUGACUUGGAGUUGUCUCUGUUGACAUCACGUGGUAAUGAAAUUUACAACAUCAUUCCUGCCAUAUUCAGUUUAAUCAAGCAGUAUACCCUUUGAUUCCCUACUCGUAAGGUGGUAUAAAUAAUCAAACCAGGGUUCAAAGCAUCAGUUUCUACUAUGUGAAAUGCAGUUUCAACUCUAAGGCUCUCUGGCCUCGCUUUGGCCUUUCUACUUCUACUAUACAUAAUUUUGGAGGGCAUCAAUAAUUAAAUCCAAGAAGUUUACCCAUACACUUCUAUUUGCCAUGUCUUGCUCAUUUUUUAUUCAGAUUUACUUCACUUAUAAUUAGAUAGUACGUAGUAAGUUAUACUAAUUCUGGAGUGUUCCUCCCUUUUCUUUUGGCGAAAGAAAGUGUUCCUAAUUUUUGAGCAAGUCCGAAUUCUGAAUAAUUGUUUUUUGUCCUGCUGCGUGAACCAGGAACUUUUGGACUUUGGAACAAUUCUCUACUACACUGCUACUAUGAAAAUAUUAACAGCAUGUAGAUUUGCUUCAGUGUCAGUUGUUGUUAUGAGUUUCAACUCAUCUCAGCAUGGUCUUAACGUAUGACUGUCUUCAUAGCCCUCAAAGAAGAAAAAUCCUAUAAGUUUAGCACAACUGAUGCUGUUUCAUUUGACGAUCAGUUUUAUUAAGCAUAAAAACAUUCAUGUGACAUCUUUCAUUUGUAAUGCAAUGAGCAAUAAAGACUUGUAGAUUGUGUACCACUCUACUUGUGAAAUUCUUGGCAUUUUGGUUGUCUUUUGGGUCUAUUUACUUCACACAAAGUUUAGCAUUUUUAAACUCUUGAAUGCUUGUAACCUAAUGAUCUACUUAUAGUGUGCUUAUGACAAGGUCUGAAUGCUUCUAAACUUAUUGAACUAAAGGGUCCUGAUGAUUACAAUUUAUCAAUGUUUAUAGAGUAUAUUCCAAUGCAUCUCAUCCUGAUAUGUUUUGUUAAAUAGAACAAUAUUUCAGCAAAGGACAUGUCCUUUUUUUUUGUAUUUCACAAGUACGUAAUUACCAUAUAAACUGAAAAUUGCUACAUUGAUAGCAUACAUACUGCAUUUUUUUAGCCCAAAUUCUAAAAAGUGCAGCUGCACUUUUUAGACGUCCCGAGCACACAGGCCUGCGAGCCGUUGGAUGCGCGAUCACGGUCCCCAGGUGUGCCGCUGUAGGAGGAAAUCGUCCGUGCUAAUUCAACCGCCGAAGCGGCAGCCAGUGUAAAAUAAAAGCUUCGCUAUUUCUUCCCAGAAAAAACACCUAGCCCGAUCCCCUUUUCCUUGUCGAGCAGAGGAGCGCCGGCGUCGAUUCCCGGGUGGUCGAGGGGGAGGCGGUAGAUUGGAGGAGCCCGAUCCUCUUCAUCCUCUCUCUCGCGACCCGAUCCUCACCAACUCCUCCUCCCGGCGACGCACCCCGCCUCCUCCAAUCGGCGAAAUGCCCCCUCCCACUCGCCGGAGAGCGCCGUUGCGCCUCCGCAGCCAUCGGAUGCCAACAGCCCCUCCCCCCGCCACCGCAUCUCCACAGCCGCCGCACGCCACCGACCCCUCCGGAUCGCCGCAUCGCCAGGAUCUCAGCAGCCUGCCGGAUGCAGCCGCUGCGCUCGGAUCCCCGCGGCCUCCUGGAUCCCAUCGCCGUCGGGUCUCCCGCUCCAACGCCGGGCCGACCCAUAUCCAUGACGAAGGCGAGCGCGCACUGCCUCCAUGCUCCUCAUUCAGGGCCGUUGGCCCUGACACCAUCACAGCGGGCCUCUUCCUCUCCAGCAGCUCGCUGCCGACCGCAUCUAGGACGGCCUCGACCUCCUGCUGCUAGCUGCAGGUGCUGGCUAUAGCUUGGACUGGAGCAGGAAAAUUGCAUCAAGGUAGAAGGUGGAUGAUGGUGUUUGUGCCUUUUCUCUUGAAUUGUUGCUGGUGAUGGCUGCAAUUUGAAGACGUCGGUUUUUUCUCUCUUUUCAUAUUCUGCAAUUGUGCUUCCCCUAUGCGUGAUGAUUCUAUUGCUUGGUGCAUUGUGGUUUGGGUUGUUUUACUGCUUGACAUUGAUCUGUGUGAGCCUGUGACAGUUGGAGAGAUGAUAGUAGCAAGUACAAACUCUCUUGAAUGGUUAGUUGAUAGUAUAGUGGUAACUGUACUAUGAUCAUAUAAUAAAGCAGAAAAAAUUCAAGAUUUAUAUUGAGCUAUUGGACUCAUUUCUUCUAUUAGACUUGCUGAAACUUGCAUGAUGUUUUGAUAAGUAGAUGCCUCAUUUCUGCUAUUGGACUUGCUCAAUGGGUCGACACUCGACAGGCAAUUUGUAUCCCCUAUCUUAUUUCUUCGGCAAGUUGGCUGCAGAAUCUAUGGGAAUUGUCUACAAACCUAGUAUGAGUUGCUACCUUUUAAUCUUUUUUUCUAAACAAAACCUGGAUUGCCUGGAUAUAGUAUGCAAUUUGCUUAGAUUAGAGCACAACUUGCCUACAACAACUAAAACAUUUGCCCAGGGGACACAACACAACUUGAUGUUCCACACAAUAUAGGUCCACUUUUUUUGCCUAAAACUUGUAGGCAAAUUGCCUACAAACCAAGUAGUAGGUGCUCCUGACUUCCACUACUUUUUUUCUACGGCUAGCAAACCAAUGAGUUGGCUGCAAAAACUAUGGAAAUUGCCUACAAACCCAAUACGAAUUGCUACCUUUCAAUCCUCUUUUUCUAAACAAAGCUUAGAGUUGCCUGGAUAUGCUAUGCAAUUUUCUUAGAUCAGAGCACAACUUUCCUUCAACCACUGGUGCAUUGACACAACACAACUUGAUGUUCUACACAAUAUAAGUCCACAUUUUUUUCUCGCAACAUGUCAAAUUGCCUAUGAACCAAGUAGUAGAUUCUCCCGACUUCCAUUAUUUAUUUUUUCUUUGGUAUUCAAGCUAAUGAAUUGGCUACAAAAUUUAUGGAAAUUUCCUACAAACCCAGUGCAAGUUUAUAGUGGCUACUUAUAGUAGUUGCUCCUGACUUAGCGUUUUUCACUUGGAGCAGAGGGCAAAUAUAGAGGCUACUUAUUGUAUUACGUACAGUACUACACAUGAACGGAUACUUGUAGUUGUAUAACACAAACCAAUCUGCACAAGAGACGCAUACCCCCUUCCUCACUUUAACCUGAAAGCUUGGCCGUGCCCCACCUUUGUAUUUGCUUCGAUCCUGCAGCACUACCACAGAGGUCUAGAGGCCUACAACGGCUACAAAGAUCCCUCAUGCGGACUAGAAGCAUAAAAAAUUGUUGCUAUGCUAAUCUAUGACAUCCCCUGGCAGGGAGAAGAAGAUGAACAUGAGAGAGAGAGAGAGGGAGGGAGAGGGAGAGGGAGAGGGAGAGGGAGGGAUGGGGGGAGGGAGGGAGAGAAGAAGAUGAACAUGAGAGAGGGAGGGAGGGAAGAAGAUGAACAUGAGAGAGAGAGAGAAGAUGAACAUGAGAGAGAGAGAGAAGAUGUAGUGGCAUUCAUGAUUCUGAGUCAUUUGUAUGGUUGCUACUACUUGUACUGCAAUGACUAUCAUAUCCUAUCAUAUUUGAAUAUUUGACUAGUAAUACCUGCUCUUGCUGGAGCAAACAAAACCCCUAAUCACCUAAGUGUUGUAAAUAUUCUUGCCUAAAAAAAUUGUUUGUUUUGCUUGAAGGGCCUCACUAAAUUCUCAAAUGAUGUCAAAGCAACAUUUUCGAGGUUUUGUGCACACGCCCAAGCAAGAGGCUUCAACAUACACUUCCAGCAGGACUUGCUUUUUUUAUUUUCCAUCUUUGCAAGCAAUAAGCUUUGCCAGCCACUUCAAGGAAUACUUCCUUCCUACGCCGCCCUUUUAUUGCCAGCAAAAAGUUUUACCAGCAACUUCCAGGGAUCAGGGCAUAGUGGCACACCCCCAAGUUGUCCAGAUAGAGAGGUGGCGCACGGAAGGUUCAAGUGCUGAUGGUUGGGUGGAUGGAUCCUGCAGAAGAUGGAGGAGGAAGGGGUUGAUGGGGAAGAAAGGGUGGAGGAGGAGCGGGGAAGGGAGAAAAGUCUCCAGAGGUUUUGUGCCGUGUGUUCACACACACUGGGUUGCGUCGGUUACGAUUGGGAGAAAAGGAAAUCUGGCCAUGUGCACGAUCAGAUCGUUUCUUUCCUUUUUUGACGCCAGCUGGCAACAAGAGAGGGUCCACUGCCUUAUUUAGGGCGUGUGCCCUGGACCGCUAGCUAGCCAACGGUUGCUGGCUAGUCGCGUCCUUUUUUUAGAUAGAACACAAGAAUUGGCAUAGUGUGAUUACACCUUUGCUCACUGAACACUUGAAUAACCGGAAUCAUCAAAGACCAUGACUUCUGGUACAAACAUGCCAUAUUCAAAACUA